GGUGAUUCUCUAUCACCUCCAUUAAAAUGGAGGUUUGUGGUUCUUCUACAACAAUGUCACCAAAUAGUAGCACCUUCUAUCUUUCUCCUUUAACUGUUAUGCCCCUUAAAUCUGAUGGAUCUCUUUGUAUCUUGGAAGCUCUUUCUUCUACACAGUCAGAAGGUUAGUUGACUAGUUAUCAGAUAACACAAAAUUUUGGUUCUUUAAAAACAAAGAAAACAAGAAAAGUAAAAAACAAAAAACUAUUAUUUAAUUGUUUCUUUUGUUUUACUUAAAAUGUGAAGGGAUGAUGCCAAAUUCUUCUUUACCUAAGCUGGAAGACUUUCUUGGGGUUGCUCAUGACUAUGGAGGCCAUGAGAGAGAAACAAUGGCUCUAAGCUUAGACAGCUUGUACCCUGAAUCUAGAUGGUUGUAU
rnacentral:lncRNA from 1 species